rnacentral:rRNA from 1 species
UAAUACUGCAAGUCGAGCGGAUCUUCUUGAGUAGCUUGCUACUCAAGAAAGUUAGCGGCGGACGGGUGAGUAACACGUAAGCAACCUGCCCAUAAGACCGGGAUAACAUUCGGAAACGAAUGCUAAGACCGGAUACGCAAGAAAGCGGCAUCGCUUUCUUGGAGAAACACGGUGCAAGCUGUGGCUUAUGGAUGGGCCUGCGGCGCAUUAGCUAGUUGGUGGGGUAACGGCCUACCAAGGCGACGAUGCGUAGCCGACCUGAGAGGGUGAACGGCCACACUGGGACUGAGACACGGCCCAGACUCCUACGGGAGGCAGCAGUAGGGAAUCUUCCACAAUGGGCGCAAGCCUGAUGGAGCAACGCCGCGUGAGUGAAGAAGGCUUUCGGGUCGUAAAGCUCUGUUGCCAGGGAAGAAUAAGGGCCAGUUAACUGCUGGUCCGAUGACGGUACCUGAGAAGAAAGCCCCGGCUAACUACGUGCCAGCAGCCGCGGUAAUACGUAAGGGGCAAGCGUUGUCCGGAAUUAUUGGGCGUAAAGCGCGCGCAGGCGGUUUCUUAAGUCUGGUGUUUAAGUGCGGGGCUCAACCCCGUGACGCACUGGAAACUGGGAGACUUGAGUGCAGAAGAAGAGAGCGGAAUUCCACGUGUAGCGGUGAAAUGCGUAGAGAUGUGGAGGAACACCAGUGGCGAAAGCGGCUCUCUGGACUGUAACUGACGCUGAAGCGCGAAAGCGUGGGGAGCAAACAGGAUUAGAUACCCUGGUAGUCCACGCAGCUAACGAUGAGUGCUAAGUGUUGAGAGGGUCACCCCCCUCGUGCCGUAAGUUACACAUUANGCACUCCGCCUGGGGGAGUACAGUCGCAAGACUGAAACUCAAAAGAAUUGACGGGGGACCCGACAAGCCAUGGAAGUAGGGGGUUUAUUUCAAACCAACGCGAAAAUCCUACCAGGCNUGGACUC